AGGGGCUAUUGUUUAUUUCCUCGUUAAAUAUUCAUAUUUACGCGAAAAAAUGUAAAUGUGUGGCAUUUUUUGUAAAUAUAAAGUUUUGAAGCAAUAAUUAAUAAAACAUUGUUUAUCACUCCGCUUAUUUUUACAAGGGGUUUAAAUUUGAAACUCCCGCCUUGAAGGUAAAUUCAGUAAAUGGCUGGCAGAGGGUUAACACUAAUGUGCAUGCACUCCUCCCGCAUCGGUGAUAAAGUUUCGAAAUUUACGUCAAAGUAAUUAAAUAAAAUUGAACGCAAGUCGAAAGCGGUUUAAACUUUUUGCCCACUUAAAAUCCUGUUCGACGAUUCGGCAACGAGGCCAUGGACAGAGUCAGUUCCAGUUUAAUACCAGUUUCAGGUCCAGAUCCCAUCCUGACCACGCCGCAGAAAGAAGCCGCAGACACAAGCCGCAUGCUGUCGGGAUGUGAGAUACGAGCAUCAGCUCCUCACUGACCAACCUACAGAACCCCCCAUUGAUUCCCCUUGCACGCUCAUGUAAAUUAGCUGCGUUGUCAAAUAAUUCUGAUUUGUUGUUGCUACACUGGCAUGCUAAUAAAAGCGGAAUGCCCAAGCCCAGCGCCCCCAAUCCUCAGUCUCCAGUCCCUUGUCAAUAUGUCAGCCCGACGAGCGUUCGUCACUUGACAGUGCCCACUGUCGCACUCUAACUGGGCGUGGGCAGCGUUUUGUUUAAAAAUCAAAUCAAAUAUUACGAGAAAAUUUCAAUGCGGUCGGAAUGCAUAGGAAAUUUUAUGCUCGCCGCAGCCGCAAAAACGCAAAUGUUGACUCCGCCGGACAGCAGCUGGAAUCCGUCGAGAUGGAGCCGCACAGAUAGAGAUACUCGUUCAGAUACGGAUACUGGUCACGUGAAUGCAUUCAGUGGGUCGAUUCACGAAUCGCUUUAAGUCCGAUUUAAAUGGGGUUUUGCGUAAAUAUAUUUGAUAGCUUUUAAAUGGUGUGAACAAACAGUUAUAUGCACACAUUUGCGUAUGACCCAUAUUUAGUAACGGGUUAUAUAUAAGUAUAUAUUUCCACAGAGAGUAUCUUUGAAUGUUAAAUAUGCUAUGGAGCUCUUAGAAGUCAUGCCAAUACAAACUUUAGUGACGAUAUGAAAAGGUUUUAAAACUAUGUUGAUUUUCCUGUGAAAUAAUUCCUUAAUAGAAAGUCAGAUUAUAAUACAAUGACGAAAUCGCCCCAUUGGUAUACGGUCAGCAACAUAGUGAUUCCCUCACAGUCCGGAAAACAUCUCCAAAGUGAUAUAGGGCUGCUUAAGCUCUCAGAAAGCAUCGAUUACAAUGACUUUGUAUACCCCAUCUGCAUUGCUUUAAAUACUUCGGAUAUGGUAAAGAGAAUAACGUAUUUCAAAAUCUCUGCCCGGCUUCCCCAGAGUUUUCGAAAGAUAACAAAAAUGACAUAGCAUUGCUCAGAAUUAAUCAACCAGUGGCCAUGGGCCAAUUGAAGCCAAUCUGUAUGCUGUUGAAAGAAAGGCAUCAGGAAAUGGCCAAGUCUAGUGCGCCCAUAUCGUUUGACUACGUCCAAACUGCAGACCGCAUACAAGUUUUAAGUAAUAACGCUACACUUACAGAUCCCAGGAUAUGUGCAAACAGGCUUCUAAGAACUAUAGAAUCAAAUCAAGUUUGUGUGCAAGUUCCUCCCGAAACGGUCCACGAAAACGCAACACGUGGCGGCAUUUUGGGUCUAAGGGUGAUGUAUUUGGGAAAGGAGGUGCUCAUCCUGUUCGGUAUCUCGAGUUAUUCGCACAAUGACAUUGAUGUCUUCACAAAUGUUAUGGCACACACUCAGUGGAUUGCCAAUGUUGUUAACUCCGAUCACCAACUGUAGCCAGCACGGUAGUGAAUAAAUGUUCCUGACCAGCCACAAGCGCUUGAAGACGCCUAAAAGUAGGCAAUGGAUUCAAUUACAAGGAAGUGAGUAUAGCUGCAAACCUGCAAUAUGAAACCUCUUUUUAAUAGCUAAACUAUGAUAACCUUCGGUGUAUUUAUGUUCUAAUUCUCUCCUUUGUUGCUCUCCAGUCAUUUAAUAGCUGGUUUAAACUCUGUGUUUCAUGCAACAUAUGUCCUUGGCAGCGCGUCAACAAGAGAUCAGAGAUUGUGGGACGUGUCAAGUGUCCGAAAUUCAAUUAGACUUCAUUAGCAUUACCAGCCGGUGGCAGCCACCCGACACCCCUUGUGGUUUCGUCUGUCUGUGUGCGUGAACAGAUUCAAGCGUUGCAGAUUAGCAUAAAUGAGAUCAUUAAAAUGCGCUUACGUUUGUGUGGGUGGUGGCUAUCCGUUGGCUUGGGGCAGUUGCGUGCGGGUCAAGGGGUCAGUGGAGGUGCGGAGUCACGACUUGGUCCUUUCGCACGUUUCUCAAAGAGCGACGCCGUCUGCAAAUUGAGCUCGAGCCCCGUGUCCUGACGCCUCGUUUGCGUCCUUGUUUUCUCGGCCAUCCAAAGGUGUCACUGCUGCUAGUGCAGGUUCGUGUCCCGGCUAGACGGAGCAAAUUGAAAUUUGCAUAAUUAUUGCAGCAUCUUUUUGAAUGUGAUGUCCUUCUCAGGUGCCUCCCAAAUAGUUUCCACCGACUCCUCCUGCCAACCAUCGCCUAAUUUGCUCAUUAUGUUUAGUGUGAUGAGGCAGUUAGUAUAAAAAACAGAAGGAAAUUCGGGCGAGAGGAGGAACUCCACAUUAAAUUUGGUUUCACUGUGCUACAAGUUUAAGGAAUACAAGAGUUUUUUUUACAGUUGAUUAUUAUUUUAUUUUAAGAUUGAUGGGACAUUCAUAAGCUAAAACUGCUGGUAUAUGCCCUGUGUAUGUUUGUUUUAAAUAAAUAAAAAGGAAGGCUAACUUACGUGAUGUUCAACAAAAUAGCUGUGUUAAUUAGCUAAUGACCCACAUGCAGUUUACACAGUCAUUCUUCAGAUAAUUGGGACAUUCUUUAUUUUGCUCGCCAGUGCUUCAUUGAGCUCAUUUUAAAUUCAGUCGGGUUAAUUGGAGAGCCAUGCACCUGUUGCUCCGUGAACUUUGCCAGGACUGACCUUUCCAGCGGAAGUUCGUGCACAUGCAUUAAAAUGCCACAUGAGCUCAUUGAGUUGGGGAGACCAGCCCGGCCAACAGCUCCGUGAUGCCACCUCAGUAGCCGUCCCGUCAAACAAGCUAAUUUUUGAUGAUAUCCACAGGCGCUCAACGCGCAGGAGGAGGAGCAUGGGCGGUCAGGAUAUGGGUGGACUGGCAGACUGGCUGCACUGGGGAGAGAGCACUAAAAGCCUGUCGCUGGCUGCAAAUUGAAUCAGUCGUCCUGUGUUUCGUCCUUCGUCCAUUCGAGUGCCUGUGUGUGUGUGAGUUCGCCUGGGGCGAGUUUUAGUGUCCAGCGGGCGGCGUGCGCGCUCUCAUGAAAUGUGACCGCAAUUGCGGUUCGUUAGCUGCAUUUCAGCUAGUCCGCAUCCAUGUCAGGGCGUCGUGAUGCAGCGGCGCCACCAGGAGCUCUGCCUCUGCUCCACCUGCACGUGCUGCCGCCAAAAAAGCAACCCCAAUGGGGCGGACCAAGGGGGCUGGGUUUUCCGGGGGCUGUGACCAUAGCCAGCAUGGCCAAAGCGCUGUGCUUAAGUGGUCCAAGCGACCGAAAGCACUUUGACCAUGCGGUGGUGGCCAAAUCCCCGACGGGCUUCCUCCAAUCCACACACUAUUUUACCGCUUCUACACAGGAGUCGCACGAUAUACGAGUACUUCAGUUUCUGCAGACCAACGAAAAUGGAAAAUGAAUACCUCUACGUAUUCUCAUUAAAGACUUCAUUUACUAUCCUAAUUUUCUUCUGUAUUUUGGAAGAUGUAUUUACGAGAUCUUACUUAGACUUAUUAGGCGUUUGUAAACCGAUGAGUAACCUAAAUCUACCCAUACUCGUCAUCAUUCUGAUCCAUUUCUCAUUUCUCGCUGUGCAACAAAUGCUUUAAAGCUCUGUGAGAAUCGAAUCCCCAGACGAAUACCCAACUGACUGGGAUUAUUUAUGUUGAAAAUAUCAAACGUUUGAGGAUUGCCCAGGCACUUAACGGCAAUUAGCCUUGGGGCCACACACACACCUGUGGAUUCAGGACGUAGCCCAUCAUUCCCAUAGCCACUGAGGGGGUGGACACUCCACCUGCGUCCGCAAUCACAGCUCAAUGCUCCGGCCAGCUCGACGGGAUUUGCGCAUCAUCAAAUGACCAACUUGAGGUAAUUACCAACAAAGAGCAGGAGACACGCACGCAGAUAUUCAGCAGCCCCAGUCAGAGCCCCAUCCUCACAUCCUUUCACUCCGGAGCUCCCGAUCCGACCGGGCACGCAGGGAAAAAACUUCUGGCCUGGCCCCCGUUUGGUGUCUCCUUUCAGCGCCGGACAACGUGACAAGCAUGCGGAAUAAGCCGGAGACGGAGAUGGAGAUGGGGACUGAGUUGGAGGCGGAGACCUAGAAGCGACCGAAGGAAAGCUGCACAAUUUAAACGGAUCUCGUCCUGGAUUUCAAGGAUAUGUCGCAUUAACAAUGCCCUGACCUACUGAUGAGUGCCAAAUGAGUUGUUAGAGGAGUGGCAAGGAGGCGGGAGCCCAAGUUUCCCCAACCCACCUGGCGGCACUGCGAGUGUGGGUCCUUUGGGGUGUGGGCCUGCGACUUUUGUUGCCAAACUAAAUAUUGUUAGGCAAAGUAAACGACGUUGUAGACUUUGUGCCAACGGAGGCUGCCAAGACAGAGGCGUUUGCCAGGGGGGUGCAAGGGUCUUGGGUAUACAAUUUAUAUCCGAGCAAAGGAAUCAUGGCAAAUUAUGUACGCUUUAAUAAAAUUGGCUUGAUGGCUCUA